AGAGUUUGAUCAUGGCUCAGAUUGAACGCUGGCGGCAGGCCUAACACAUGCAAGUCGAACGGUAACAGGAAGCAGCUUGCUGCUUUGCUGACGAGUGGCGGACGGGUGAGUAAUGUCUGGGAAACUGCCUGAUGGAGGGGGAUAACUACUGGAAACGGUGGCUAAUACCGCAUAACGUCGCAAGACCAAAGAGGGGGACCUUCGGGCCUCUUGCCAUCAGAUGUGCCCAGAUGGGAUUAGCUUGUUGGUGAGGUAACGGCUCACCAAGGCGACGAUCCCUAGCUGGUCUGAGAGGAUGACCAGCCACACUGGAACUGAGACACGGUCCAGACUCCUACGGGAGGCAGCAGUGGGGAAUAUUGCACAAUGGGCGCAAGCCUGAUGCAGCCAUGCCGCGUGUAUGAAGAAGGCCUUCGGGUUGUAAAGUACUUUCAGCGGGGAGGAAGGUGUUGUGGUUAAUAACCGCAGCAAUUGACGUUACCCGCAGAAGAAGCACCGGCUAACUCCGUGCCAGCAGCCGCGGUAAUACGGAGGGUGCAAGCGUUAAUCGGAAUUACUGGGCGUAAAGCGCACGCAGGCGGUCUGUCAAGUCGGAUGUGAAAUCCCCGGGCUCAACCUGGGAACUGCAUUCGAAACUGGCAGGCUUGAGUCUUGUAGAGGGGGGUAGAAUUCCAGGUGUAGCGGUGAAAUGCGUAGAGAUCUGGAGGAAUACCGGUGGCGAAGGCGGCCCCCUGGACAAAGACUGACGCUCAGGUGCGAAAGCGUGGGGAGCAAACAGGAUUAGAUACCCUGGUAGUCCACGCCGUAAACGAUGUCUACUUGGAGGUUGUGCCCUUGAGGCGUGGCUUCCGGAGCUAACGCGUUAAGUAGACCGCCUGGGGAGUACGGCCGCAAGGUUAAAACUCAAAUGAAUUGACGGGGGCCCGCACAAGCGGUGGAGCAUGUGGUUUAAUUCGAUGCAACGCGAAGAACCUUACCUGGUCUUGACAUCCACAGAACUUUCCAGAGAUGGAUUGGUGCCUUCGGGAACUGUGAGACAGGUGCUGCAUGGCUGUCGUCAGCUCGUGUUGUGAAAUGUUGGGUUAAGUCCCGCAACGAGCGCAACCCUUAUCCUUUGUUGCCAGCGAUUAGGUCGGGAACUCAAAGGAGACUGCCAGUGAUAAACUGGAGGAAGGUGGGGAUGACGUCAAGUCAUCAUGGCCCUUACGACCAGGGCUACACACGUGCUACAAUGGCGCAUACAAAGAGAAGCGACCUCGCGAGAGCAAGCGGACCUCAUAAAGUGCGUCGUAGUCCGGAUUGGAGUCUGCAACUCGACUCCAUGAAGUCGGAAUCGCUAGUAAUCGUGGAUCAGAAUGCCACGGUGAAUACGUUCCCGGGCCUUGUACACACCGCCCGUCACACCAUGGGAGUGGGUUGCAAAAGAAGUAGGUAGCUUAACCUUCGGGAGGGCGCUUACCACUUUGUGAUUCAUGACUGGGGUGAAGUCGUAACAAGGUAACCGUAGGGGAACCUGCGGUUGGAUCACCUCCUU
rnacentral:rRNA from 1 species